GAUGAACGCUGGCGGCGUGCCUAAUACAUGCAAGUCGAGCGAACAGACGAGGAGCUUGCCCCUCUGACGUUAGCGGCGGACGGGUGAGUAACACGUGGAUAACCUACCUAUAAGACUGGGAUAACUUCGGGAAACCGGAGCUAAUACCGGAUAAUAUAUUGAACCGGAUGGUUCAAUAGUGAAAGACGGUUUUGCUGUCACUUAUAGAUGGAGCCGCGGCGCAUUAGCUAGUUGGUAAGGUAACGGCUUACCAAGGCGACGAUGCGUAGCCGACCUGAGAGGGUGACCAGCCACACUGGAACUGAGACACGGCCCAGACUCCUACGGGAGGCAGCAGUGGGGAAUCUUCCACAAUGGGCGAAAGCUUGACCGAGCAACGCCGCGUGAAUGAUGAAGGUCUUCGGAUCGUAAACCUCUGUUAUUAGGGAAGAAAAAGUUUGUAAUUAACUCUGCACGUCUUGACGGUACCUAAUCAGAAAGCCCCGGCUAACUACGUG
rnacentral:rRNA from 1 species